rnacentral:tmRNA from 1 species
GGGGGCGACUGGUUUCGACAGCAGGCUGGAAGGUCAGGAAGAGCAGGCCGAGGUUGGGGUAUCCUCGUUAAUAUCGUCCCAAAACAAUAGUUGUCAACGAAGAUUACGCACUAGCUGCUUAAGUCAGCUACGCUCCCCGGCGGCCUCGACCGUUGGGUGCCGACGGAGCGUCACUAAGACGGUAUGGAUAGGGUCAUUGCCGACCGGGCCCCAUCCGAGAUCUAGGAAGGCUAGGGAAAGAGAAUCGUGUCUUUGCGAGUCUCCAACCCGAAAUCAAAUCAAGGACUAAGCUUGUAGGGCUUCCUCGAUGGUCCCCUGUUGGACCGGAGUUCGAUUCUCCGCGCCUCCACCA